rnacentral:rRNA from 1 species
GAUCCUGGCUCAGGAUGAACGCUAGCGGCAGGCUUAACACAUGCAAGUCGAGGGGCGAGCAUAAUGGAUAGCAAUAUCUAUGGUGGCGACCGGCGCACGGGUGCGUAACGCGUAUGCAACCUACCUUUAACAGGGGGAUAACACUGAGAAAUUGGUAACUAAUACCCCAUAAUAUCAUAGAAGGCAUCUUUAUGGUUGAAAAUUCCGAUGGUUAGAGAUAGGGCAUGCGUUGUAGUUAG